rnacentral:rRNA from 1 species
UACAGAGGUCUCAAGCGUUGUUCGGAUUCAUUGGGCGUAAAGGGUGUGUAGGUGGCGCCGUAAGUCGGGUGUGAAAUUUCGGAGCUUAACUCCGAAACUGCAUUCGAUACUGCGGUGCUUGAGGACUGGAGAGGAGACUGGAAUUCAUGGUGUAGCAGUGAAAUGCGUAGAGAUCAUGAGGAAGACCAGUGGCGAAGGCGGGUCUUUUGGCCUGUAACUGACGCUGAGGCGCGAAAGCGUGGGGAGCAAACAGG